rnacentral:sRNA from 1 species
GUUUUUUUCUUCUUCUUCUGCA